AUGAGCAUGGAAUGUUUUUCCAUUUCUUUGUGUCUUUUUCAGUUUCUUUUACUAGUGUUCUAUAGUUUUCAGAGUAUAGAUCUUUUACCUCUUUGGUUAGCUUUAUCCCUAGGUAUCUUAUGGGUUUUGGCCCAAUUAUAAAUGGGAUCAAUUCCUUGAUAUCUCUUUCGUCUUCUUUACUAUUAGUCUAUAGAAAUGCAACAGACCUCUGUGCGUUGAUUUUAUAUCCUGCAUCUUUGCUGAAUUGUAACAGUUCUAGCAAUUUUUUUGUUGGAGUCUUUUGGUUUUUCUACACAGAGUAUCAUGUCUUCUGGGAAGAGUGAAAGUUUAACUUCUUCCUUGCUGAUCUGGAUGCCUUUUAUUUCUUUUUGUUUUCUGAUUGCUGAGGCUAGGACUUCUGGUACUAUGUUGAACAACAGUGGUGAGAAUGGACAUCCCUGUCAUGUUCCUGAUGUUGGGGAAGUGUUCUCAGUUUUUCCCCAUUGAGGAUGAUAUUAGCUGUGGGUCUUUUGCAUAUGGCCUUUAUGAUGUUGAGGUAGGUUCCUUAUAUCCAUACUUUCUUGAGGGUUUUUAUCAGGAAAGGAUGCUGUAUUUUGUUGGAUGCUUUUUCUGCACCUGUUGAGAAGAUCAUAUGAUUCUUGUCCUUUUAAUAGUGUGGUGUAUCACAUUGAUUGAUUUGCAGAUGUUGAACCACCCCUGCAAACCAGGAAUAAAUCCCAUUUGGUUGUGAAUAAUCCUUUCAAUGUACUGUUGGAUCCUACUAGCUAGUAUCUCGCUGAGAAUUUUUGCAUCCAUGUUCAUCAGGGAUACUGAUAUGUAAUUCUUCUUUUUAGUGGGGUCUUUGUCUGGUUUUGGGAUCAGGGUAAUGCUGGCCUCAUAGAAUGACUUUAGAAGUUUUCCUUCUAUUUCUAUUUUAAGAAACAGUUUUGCAAGAAUAAAUAUUAAGUCUUCUUUAAAUGUUUGGUUGAAUAUCCUUGGGAAGCCAUCUGGCCCUAGACUCCUGUUUCUUGGGAGAUUUUUGAUGAGUGAUUCAAUUUCUUUGCUGAUUAUGGAUCUGUUCGGAUUUUAUAUUUCUCCUCGUUUCAGUUUAAAUAUACAUGUUUCUAGGAAUUUGUCCAUAUCUUCCAGGUUGCCUAAUUUAUUGGCAUAAAAUUUCUUAUGGUUUUUUCUUAUAUUUGUUUGUAUUUCUGUGGUGUUAGUUGUGAUUGCUCCUCUUCCUUUCAUGAUUUUAUUUAUUUGGGUCCUUUCUCUUUUCUUUUUGAUAAGUCUAGCUAGGGGUUUAUCAGUCUUGUUAAUUCUUUCAAAGAACCAGCUCCUAGUUUUGUUGAUCUGUUCUAUUGUUUUGUUUUGUUUUUUUAUUUCUGUAUCAUUGAUUUCUGCUCUUAUCUUUAUUUUUUCCCUUCUGCUACGUUUAGGUGUUUUUUGUUUUUUGUUUUUGUUUUUGUUUUGUUUUGUUUUUUUUCCCUUGGCUGUUCUUUUUCUAGCUCCUUUAGGUGUAAGGUUAGAUUGUGUAUUUGAGACUUUCUUGCUUCUUGAGAAAGGUCUGUGUUGAUAUAUACUUCCCUCUUAGGGACUGCUUUUACCACAUCCCAAAAGUCUUGGACUGUUGUAUUUUCAUUUUCAUUUGCUUCCAUGUAUUUUUAAAAUCCUUUAAUUUCCUGGUUGACCCACUCAUUCUUUGGUAGGAGGUUCAUUAACCUCAUGUAUUAUGGUCCUUCCAAAUUUUUUCUUGUGGUUAACUUCAGUUCAGUUUUAUAGCAUUGUGGUCUAAAAAUAUGCAUGGUAUGAUCUUAGUCUUUCUGUACUGGUUGAGGCCUGAUUUGUGACCCAGUAUGUAAUCUAUUCUGGAUAAUAUUGGAGAUGUGCACUUGAAAAGAAUGUAUAUUCUGCUGCUUUAGGAUGAAUGCUCUAAAUAUGUCUGUUAAAUCCAUCUGAUCCAGUGAGCCAUUUAAAGCCCAUGUUUCCUUGUUGAGCUUCUGCUUAAAUGAUCUGUCCAUUGCUGUGAGUAGGGCAUUAAAGUUCCCUACUAUUACUGUAUUUUCAUCAGUGAGUUUAAGUUUGCUUUUAAUUGACUCAUAUAUUUGGCUGUUCUCAAGGGCAUAAGUAUUUACAAUUGUUAGAUAUUUUUUGGAUAGACACUUGAUUAUGAUAUAAUGCCUUUCUUCAUCUCUUAUUAUAGUCUUUGGUUUAAAAUAUAGUUUGUCUAGGGGAGCCUGGGUGGCUCAGUGGGUUAAAGCCUCUGUCUUUAGCUCAGGUCAUGAUCCCAAGGUGCUAGGAUUGAGCCCCGCAUCCGGCUCUCUGCUCAGCAGGGAGCCUGCUUCCUCCCCCCUCUCUCUGCCUGCCUCUCUGCCUACUUGUGAUCUCUGUCAAAUAAUAAAUAAAAUCUUAAAAAAAAUUUAAAAUCCAGUUUGUCUGAUAUAAGGUUGGCUACUCCAGCUUUCUUUUGAUGUCAAUUAGCACGAUAAGUUGUUCUACACUCCCUCACUUUCAGUCUGGAGGUGUCUUUUGGUCUAAAAUGAGUCUCAUUAGAUGGGUCUUUUUUUUUUUUUUUAAUCCAUUGUGAUACCCUAUAUCUUUUGAUUGGAGCAUUUAGUCCAUUUACAUUCAGAGUAACUAUUGAAGGAUAUGAAUUUAGUGCUAUUGUAUUAUCUGUAAAAGUCCCUGUUCCUAUAGAUUGUCUCCGUGCCUUUCUAGUCUUUGUUGCAUUAGGCCUCUUUUUCCUACUCAAAGGGUCCCAUUUAGUAUUUCUUACAGAGCUGGUUUAGUGUUCAUGAAUUCCUUUAGUUUUUGCUUGUCUUAGAAACUCUUUAUCUCUCUGUCUAGUCUGAAUGAUAGCCUUAUUGGAUAGAGUAUUCUUGGCUGCAUGUUUUUCCCAUUUAGCACAUUGAAUGUAUCAUGCCAGUCAUUUCUGGCAUGCCAGGUCUCUCUGGACAGGUCUGCUGCCAGUCUGUGUGUCUACCUUUGUAGCUUAAGGACUUUCUUUCCCUAGAUGCUUUCAGAAUUCUCUCUUUACAUUUGUAUUUUGCAGGUUUCACCAGGAUAUGUCUUGGAGUUGACCUGUUUUUGUUUAUUUUGAUGGGAGUUCUCUGUGUCUCUUGGACUUGAAUGCUUAUUUCCUUCCCCAGAUUAGGGAUGUUAUCAGCCAUAAUUUGUUCAAAUAAACCUGCCCUUUUUGCUACUCUUCUUCUUCUGGGACUCCUGUGAUAGAUAUAUUUUGCUUUAUGAAAUUGCUGAAUUCCCUAAGUCUGUAUUUGUGAUCUAAUAGUUUUCUUUUCCCUCUUCUUUUCAGCUUCAUUAUUUCCCAUAAUUUUAUCUUGUAUAUCACCUAUUCGAUCCUCUGCUUCAUCCAUCUUCAUUGAGAUUAUAUCCAGUGAGUUUUGCUUCUCAGUUAUACCAUUUUAAAAAUUUCAACCUGACUAGUUGUUAGGUCUUUUAUGCCUAUAGGCAUAAAAGGGUUUCUCUGUCUUCUUUGCUUUUUUCAAGUCCAGCUAGUAGUCUUUUGACUGUUGAUCUAAAUUCUUAUUCAGAUAUAUUGCUUAUAUCUGUUUUCAGGAAGUCCUUGCCUGUGAUACCUUCAUGACCUUUCUUUUGGGGAGAAUUCCUCCAUCUUGUCAUUUUGGCUAAGUUUCUUUCUUUUGUGUUAUCAUUAAAACUUGUUAUACUUCCUGCACCUCAGAGUAAUGUUAUGUUGAAAAAGGGUCAUACACUGUCCAGGGCCUGGCACUUCAGGAAGUGUUUCUGGUGUAUACUGUGUGCACUCUGCUGUUGUGUUUUGGCUGCUCUUUCCUAUGGGUCCAUCCUCUGCAGAGUUCCUCCUUACUUGCAGUGGGGAGUGCCUGGACCUUCAUCUAGGUGUGGUUUGAUUUGCUGGUUGAAAAAGGCCUGGAAAAAAGGAAAGGAAAAGAAAAAAGAGAGAGGGAGAGGGAGAGAGAGAGAGAGAGAGAAAGGAAAGAAAAGCCUUUAAAACAAAAAGAGGAAAGGAAAGGGAAUGAAAAAACAAACAAGCAAACAAACCAGACAUUGAAAAAAUAAACACAAAAACACUGUAAGCCUGAUUCCAAAGAAAAGGAAAGAAAAAAAAUAAAAAUAAUAAAAGAAGUCUAUUUCCAAAAAGAGAAAGAGAUAGAAGGAAAUGAGAAAGCAAACUAACAAACACACAAAAAACUAUAAGCCUGAUUCCAAAGGAAGAAGAAAAAAGAAAAAAAAAAAAUCCAGCCUCAUCCCAUUUCCCCCAGAACUGAAGGGGAUGCUGUACGGCACUGUAUGACCAGUAGACAUGGGGCGUGGGCUGCUGCCUGCAUUGUUUUUCUUGGGGGGAAGCUCCUUAUGCUGGCUCAGAGUCAAUCCUGCCCCAGUAAAAACAGCACUUGUCAAGCCAGGGCAGGGGAGUGGGGAAAGCUCAGGGUUUGAGCGGCUCUUACCUCCACUGGGGUCUGCUGAGUUGUUCUCUGAUGUCCCACCAUGUUGGUAGAGCAGUAAAUUGGCACCACCUCACUCUUUUCUCCCUGGACAGGGGAUCUCAUACCCCCUACCUAUCCCCAUGAAGUUCGGGAAACCGUCACAGAAAAGAAAGGGCCCACUCUCCUGCAUUUAUCUCCAGUGGCUGGGAUUCAAAACUCCAAAUCUUAAAGGAGCCCACACUGCUCAGAUUCUGCUCCCUCAACUGGGUUAGAGGCUUGUUGACUCUAACACCCUUUGUUCCAGAAAAGACAGUCCCCCAUCCUGCGUGAUGCAUGGAUUCUAUGCUGAGGCACCACCAAAAGCAGCUACCAUGUUUUUCAGCCUCUGCACGUGCCUUUGUUUGCUGCCGCUGAAAGGCCAUUUUCUGGGACCUCCAGGGUCUUUGGUCCUUGGAGAGGCAAUAUACCCUCUUCCAAAUGUACUCCAGGAAGGAGAGCUGCUUUCCCAGUGCGACCCCAGAGGUCCCUACACCACUUCAUGUGGGCAACCUGGCCAGAGCCCACCUUCCAAGUAAGGGACUUGAAUGAAUUGUUAUUUUCACUUAUGUCCCAAGGAGACUCAUGAAAAUUCCACUCUGGAAAGCAAGGGAUGGCAAUAUUAAACAAAGUGGAACGUAAGGAAAAGGCAUUACAUAAAACUAAAAGGGUUGUUGAGAACACAUAUUGAGGACAUACUCUGCAGUCAAUUUGAGAGAAUUUCUAAGCCUCUUGAUGGUCAUUGAUAAAUCCCAAGUAUCUAUAGUGGACUCCAGGAUAAGAAAUUCUCAUUUGAGGGCUCCUGGUUUAUUUAUCUAUCUGGCCACAGUUCUUUGCUCUUUCCCUAUAUACAUGCAACUUGCAAUGUGACUUUGCAGGUCCUCUUAUUAUUAAGUGACCUCUUGAACUUGGGCUGACUUUGUGACUUCUUUAGGGAGUAGAAUGUGCCAGAAGUGACAGUUUGCUGUUUCCAGUCUAGGCCUUCUGUGCUUCCUCUUUCUUUCUUAGACCUCUGCUUCUGCCAUCGUGACACGGCCAGGCUAAGCUGGGGGAGGAUGAGAGACCACGGGGUAGAGUUCUGGGUUCCCAGCUUACAGCCAGCCAACCACUAGACAUGCAAGAGAGCCCAGCCUACAUCAGCACAGCUCUCUUCCUAACCAAAAACCUGUAAUCAAGCAUGAAUGAAUCCAGCUGAGACCAUAAAAACCACCACAGCUGACGUAUCAAUUCAUGAAGAGUAAUAAGUUCUUACAGUAUAAGCCACUGAGGUUUGAGGUGGUUACAUAAUAAUAGCUGUGAGAACUAUUUCAAACUUUGUACUCCAAAGAGAAUACUUAUCUGUAUCAGAUGGCUUUGAUUUAGAAAUCAAUUUGUAAAAUUGAUUCCAGGCCUGUUACAAAGAAGACCUCAGUAGAUUCUCCCAAAUAAGAAUUAUGUAGACUACUUUUAAAAAUCCUAAUGCCUUAAAACUAGAAAUUUUGUUCUUUUUAAGAAAAUUUAAACAUAAUCUACUUGAUAAUGGAACACUCCUAACUCUUUGUUCUUUGACAAGAGAAGAAGAAAAUUCCUGAAGUGAGUCCUAUUAAGAAAUGCAAAUGAUAAAAUAGGUAUGAGAAAGAGGCAUAAAGCAUGCAGAGAAGAUGAAGAAUCCUGUGUAGGAAUGUUCUGGAUGGUCCAGCCACAAACAGACUCCCUCUACUACAACAGGACUGUUCUAGUGGAAAGACGGCCCAUGAUGCUAGGACUCAAUACCAGGAUCCGUUGUAGCUACCCUAAAAGGGUCAGAUGUCAGUGCACUGUGCUUUCUAAAAUACAUAGUCUCACAGUCUUUGACCACCUCCUCACAUUGUUCUCUUUCUUUUCUGAAUUUCUCAUGGGUAUAGAUGAUGGACAGGAAUGUCAUGACUUGAACCCUAGCUAUAAGGGUGUCUAGAAAAGUACUUUUUAAUUUUCUGUGCUCUUAAAGCAUGUCCCCGUCCUCCAGCUAGAGACUACUGUAAACACAGUCAUAACUGCACAUGGUGGAUUUUCCUAACUUGUUGCAGCAACGGAGAACACACAUCCUAUGGAACCAUGAGGACCCCUCCACAUGAGGGAGUUAGAACCUAUUACAGGAUUUGGCCUUUGGUUGGGUGAUUUAUGGAGGGUCCAAGGAACCAAAGAUUCACUCUAGGUAGGAUGCCAUCAGAAAGUUAUGUGUGGGGGGAUUUUAUGAUCAAAUAUCUUAAUAAAUAAAUUUUACAUACAGGCAAACUAUAAA